rnacentral:rRNA from 1 species
CCUACGGGUGGCAGCAGUGAGGAAUAUUGGUCAAUGGGCUUACGCCUGAACCAGCCAAGUCGCGUGAGGGAAGACUGCCCUAUGGGUUGUAAACCUCUUUUGUCAGGGAGCAACGCCGGCUACGUGUAGCCGGACUGAGAGUACCUGAAGAAAAAGCAUCGGCUAACUCCGUGCCAGCAGCCGCGGUAAUACGGAGGAUGCGAGCGUUAUCCGGAAUGACUGGGCGUAAAGGGUGCGUAGGUGGUUUGGCAAGUUAGUAGCGUAACUCCAAGGCUCAACCUUGGAACUACUACUAAAACUGUUGGACUUGAGUGCAGGAGGGGCAACCGGAAUUCCUAGUGUAGCGGUGGAAUGCGUAGAUAUUAGGAGGAACACCAGUGGCGAAGGCGGGUUGCUAGACUGUAACUGACACUGAGGCACGAAAGCGUGGGGAGCAAACAGGAUUAGAUACCCGGGUAGUC